rnacentral:lncRNA from 1 species
CCGAGGUAAAACAAGUCCAACAUUCGGCAUGAGACCUCACCAAGUCAUUUUCACUAAGUUCGCCAGAACCACCAUCGGAGUGCUCAUCAGCUCACCAAGAGCCGGGGUACUGUUUCCUCCUCGCCCUUGGCCGAUGUAGUAUACUUGGAAUCUCCACCAGAACCCUUCAGAAUCCUAUCUAUACAUGGAAACUAUCCAUUGCGAGAUCUUCUCCUCCACGGCACCGACAAUUACGGGAUACUCUCCAAAUGGCAAUCUUUCCAAUUAUGCCUCCUAUAUCUCCGGGACCUCCUUCCAUACUUAUCCUUCCGAGGAUC